UAGGGAAUUUUCGUCAAUGGGGGAAACCCUGAACGAGCAAUGCCGCGUGAGUGAAGAAGGUCUUCGGAUCGUAAAGCUCUGUUGUAAGUGAAGAACGGCUCAUAGAGGAAAUGCUAUGGGAAUGACGGUAGCUUACCAGAAAGCCACGGCUAACUACGUGCCAGCAGCCGCGGUAAUACGUAGGUGGCAAGCGUUAUCCGGAAUCAUUGGGCGUAAAGGGUGCGUAGGUGGCGUACUAAGUCUGUAGUAAAAGGCAAUGGCUCAACCAUUGUAAGCUAUGGAAACUGGUAUGCUGGAGUGCAGAAGAGGGCGAUGGAAUUCCAUGUGUAGCGGUAAAAUGCGUAGAUAUAUGGAGGAACACCAGUGGCGAAGGCGGUCGCCUGGUCUGUAACUGACACUGAGGCACGAAAGCGUGGGGAGCAAAUAGG
rnacentral:rRNA from 1 species